rnacentral:rRNA from 1 species
UACAGAGGUCUCAAGCGUUGUUCGGAUUCAUUGGGCGUAAAGGGUGCGUAGGUGGCGGGGUAAGUCAGGUGUGAAAUCUCGGGGCUCAACCCCGAAACUGCACUUGAUACUGCUUUGCUCGAGUACUGGAGAGGAGAUUGGAAUUUACGGUGUAGCAGUGAAAUGCGUAGAUAUCGUAAGGAAGACCAGUGGCGAAGGCGAAUCUCUGGACAGUUACUGACACUGAGGCACGAAGGCCAGGGGAGCAAACGGG